CAAGGUCGAAUCGUGCGGACGAUAAAGAUCAGUUCUGGACAUAAUGGAUCGUCCGUCCGUCAUUCCGACGUGGCUACUAGUCUCGUAUAGGACUAAGGUACCUACAACACGCGUAUACAAUAAAUAUUGUAUAAAGAAACAAAUGGUAAAUUAGCGAAAAAUGUUUCUCUUUUCUAUUUUUUUUCUGGUCAUUAAUUUCUAGCUGAGUAAACAUAUUAUAAGUAUUAAGUAGGUGAGUACCUUGAAAAA